GACGAACGCUGGCGGCGUGCUUAACACAUGCAAGUCGAACGAAGUGGCGCACGGGUGAGUAACUCGUAAUCAACCUGCCCUUCAGAGGGGGACACCAGUUGGAAACGACUGCUAAUACCGCAUACUUAAGGAGGGGAUUGCGUCUGAUUAGCUAGUUGGAGGGGUAACGGCCCACCAAGGCGAUGAUCAGUAGCCGGUCUGGGAGGAUGAACGGCCACAUUGGGACUGAGACACGGCCCAGACUCCUACGGGAGGCAGCAGUGGGGAAUCGUCCGCAAUGGACGAAAGUCUGACGGAGCAAAGCAGCGUGAGUGAUGACGGCCUUCGGGUUGUAAAGCUCUGUUAAUCGGGACGCGGUACCGGAAUAGAAAGCCACGGCUAACUACGUGCCAGCAGCCGCGGUAAUUC
rnacentral:rRNA from 1 species